UACGUAGGGUGCAAGCGUUGUCCGGAAUUAUUGGGCGUAAAGAGCUCGUAGGCGGUUUGUCGCGUCGGCUGUGAAACCCUGGGGCUCAACCUCGGGCUUGCAGUGGAUACGGGCAGACUAGAGUGCGGUAGGGGGAGACUGGAAUUCCUGGUGUAGCGGUGGAAUGCGCAGAUAUCAGGAGGAACACCGAUGGCGAAGGCAGGUCUCUGGGCCGCAACUGACGCUGAGGAGCGAAAGCAUGGGGGAGCGAACAGG
rnacentral:rRNA from 1 species